AUCAGGUCUGAGGCAGCAGAGCGGGCGGGGCCCUGACUUCUCCUGCAUCCCUGCGCUCGCUUUUCUCCGCCUACGUGAGCGCCGCCCACCCACUCGCGGCGUGAACCCACAGGGCCCGGCCUCUCCUUUCCCCUCCCCUCGGCCUGGUGCUGAAUCAUGAGCCCACUAUCUCCAAAAGAUUAGAAAAAUUUGGAUCAAGAAGAUCAAUUAAACCUGAAGAUUCAUCAUAAACUAACUGUAAGUAGCUAAACAUCUAGUGUGUAACAUUUCCCCACAAAAUUUGCAGAGAUGAAGUAUGGAGAUAUAUAGUACAAUGGCAAAUAUUUUUUUUUAGUUGUAGUCGAACCUAAUACCUUUAUUUUAUUUGUUUAUUUUUAUAUGGUGCUAGGAGAGUGCUCUACUGCUGAGCUCCAGCCCCAGCCCCCAAUAGUAAAUAUUUGAAGUAAAAUAAUACUACAUAGUGUAGAUGGGCCUUGGCAGACAUAAAGGUUGCAGACAAUUUUGAAUGAAAAAGCAAAAGGUAAUAAAUACUUUUUAAAAAUAUUCUUGGGCUGGGGUUGUGGCUCAGUGGUAGAGCACUUACCUCGCAUGUGUGAGGUACUGGGUUCAAUCCUCAGCACCACAGAAAAAUAAAGACACUGUGUCCAUCUAUAACUACAGUUUUUUACCAGCAUUACAUCUAUAACUAAAUAUAUAUAUAUAUAUUUAUAUACAUAUAUAUGUAUUAUUCUUGAUCUCUCCUUUUUUGCUGCUUAUUUCUGCCUACAAACUUAGUUGUUGUCAAUACCCUAGAAACACUGUCACUUCAUGUUACCUGACCCACAAGAUACCUUCAUCCCAUUUUUCAUUUUCUCAGUUUUCUUCACCCCAGCAUUUGGUUGUUACCCACACUAUCUAUUGAUCAGUUCUCUUUUAAAAAAGACCACUGCUAGCCUUUUAAGAACCAUAUUCUUGGUCUCUGCUUACUGUUCAUCAAAAGCUACUCUUCACCUUGCACUCUCAGCGAAAUUCCUAUGAUGAUUUGAGAUAGGACCACCAUGCUGCUGAUUGUCAAAUCUGUAUAUCUAGUCUUAUGUACUCUUAAGGAGAAAGAAUCAUCACACCAGAGAUGACCUUACAACUGCCUGAAGUUAUCUCUACUCAGUUUUCAGUUAUCUCUACUCAGUUUCUUACCAGCAUUACAAAAUCAACAUGUUAGAAACCAAACUCUCUUACCCACUGCUGCCAAAUCAUCUUACACAUUCCAUAUUUCAGUCAGUAGUUCUAGCAACUUAAGAGCUCUGAACACUGUAAACCAAGUUUACAUAAUGGUUUUAAAAGAGGAUGUGUUCAACAGAAUUACAUUCCCCAACACUAAUGAAACCAUACUGAAGAGAAAUUUCUUCACCCCUGUACCUAUGAACCAUCUCCUGUGUCCUUUUAACAUGUGCAUGAUUUGUCUUUGAAUAUUUCCUUGUUUUCUGGCACAAGGAAAUAUUCCAGGUUUUCUGUUUUAUUUUCCCUGCUUCAGAACUGGAAUUAGCUAUUUCUCCAAAAAGAUCUGGCUCCUUUAAUGAAGAAAUAUUUUGGCUAGCUAUAAGGUAUUUAGAAAAAAAGGUCUGGGUGCUGUUGUGCUUACUGUGGGCUGAGUGUCACUGUUUCUUGAGUCUUUUAAUAGCCAUUACUAGAAGACAUUUGUUUUUUUUAAAUGAUGAUUUUAAUGAACUUUGAGGAAAAUGUUCCAUUAUAUGAAAAUACAAAUAUACAUGGUUAUUUAUUGUGGAUUUUUUUGUAACUGUAAAAUAUUGGAAACAAGAUAAAUACACAUACAUAGAAAAGGGUUUAAAUAACUUAUAAUAUAUCUACACAAUAAAAUGCUACAUAGUUAUAAAAAAAGAAUACAGAAGAACUUUAUGAACUAGUGAAAGUAAUCUCCCUCCUGUUAAAUAGCGGGGAGGGGUGUCAAGAGGCUGAUAAUAUAACUUUUCUGUAAGAAAGAAUGUGAAAAAAAAAGAAAUGUCUUGUUAAUCUGUGCAAAAUAAAUACAAUCAGAAUAAACAGAAGCCAAAGACAUUGUUUACCUAUGGGAGAUAGUAAGAACAGAGCAGAAACAAAGGAGAAUGGAAAGUAGGUCAUAAGGAUUGGAGGUACUAUUCUCUAAGUGUAAACUUUUUGUGUAACUGAUUCUUAGAACCGUGGUACUGUUUCCCAUUCUCCAAAAUGGAUAAAUAAUUAAAACUAACCACAAUAUGGUGAGAACUAAAAGUGGAAUUGCAAGCAGUUAAAAAAAAAAGUGAACCUAAUUGUAUUAUAGGUAAAUGACAAAACUACACUGAAGGAUGUAGAAUGCAUUUACUGCAUGCUACAAGCCUAAAGACAAAAAGAACUAUAUACAAACAUUGCACUCUAGUUUGGAACUUUUUUCUCCCAGCUUAUAGGAAUUAGAAAUUCUGAAAUUAUUUUAUUUAUGUUCUAGGACUGAAUAAAUAUGUGAUGCAUAAUGAGAGGGGUCAUGUUUAAUACCGGAAGUAAAGCAUAAUAAGGAAGAAGAAAGAAAGAAGAUAGAAUGAACUUUAUGGUAUUGAAUUGGAAGCUGAGGUAUUAAAUAAAAUGCAAAUAACUCAAUUUUUUAAAACAGGCAAAAGAUUUAAAUUGGCAUUCAUCCAUAGAAGACAUACAAAUGGCCAUAAGGACAUGAAAAGAUGCUCAACAUCUUUAGUUAUUAGCGAAAUGCAAAUCAAAAUCACAAUAAGAUACCAUUUCAUUGCCUACUAGGUUAACUGUAGUCAGAAAGACAACAACAAGUGUCGAUGAGGAUGUUGAGAAAUUGACAUCCUUACACUCUGGUGGUAGGAAUAAAAAAUGGUGCAGUCACUUUAGAAUACAGUCUUGUAGUUAUUCAAAAAGUUAAACAAGGGAUUAACAUGACCUAGGAAUUUUAUAUAUAUAUGUAUGUCCCAAGGAAAUUACAAAAUAUGUCCACACAAAAACAUGCACAGUAAGUUCAUAACAAGAUUAAUAAUAAUAUUCAAAGAUAGAAACAACCCAAAUUCUAAAUAACUAAUGAAUGGGAAAACACAGUAUGGUAUAUAUUCAUGUACCAUAAUAUUACUUGGUCAUAAAAAAUUAAGUACUAAUAUAUGCUACAACAUAGAUGGGCCUGGAAAAUAUUAUGCCAAGUGAAAGAAGCCAGCCACAAAGACCACAAAUUGUAUGAUUUCAUUUAUAUGAAGUUCCUAGAAUAGGAAAAUCUACAUAUACAAAAAGGAAGCUAAUUGUUACUUAGGGAUGAUAGACAGAGUAUGGGAUGCUGGGGAGAAAUUAGAGCAUAAAAAUUGCUGAAUUGUACAACUUAAAUUGUGAAUUGUAUAGUACUUGAAUUAUAUCUUAUAAAGUUUUUUUAAGUCAAACAUCAAGUUUAUUUUCAAUUAAAAACAAUAUUCCUCCAUA